rnacentral:rRNA from 1 species
GAUGAACGCUGGCGGCAUGCCUAAUACAUGCAAGUCGAACGAGAGGAAGGAAAGCUUGCUUUCCUGAAUCUAGUGGCGAACGGGUGAGUAACACGUAGGUAACCUGCCCAUGUGCCCGGGAUAACUUCUGGAAACGGAUGCUAAAACCGGAUAGGUAGCAGACAAGCAUUUGACUGCUAUUAAAGUGGCCUUGGCCAUGAACAUGGAUGGACCUGCGGUGCAUUAGCUGUGGUGAGUACGCCACCAGGCGACGAUGCAUAGCCGGCCUGA